rnacentral:tRNA from 1 species
GACUGCUUAGCUCAGUUGGCAGAGCAUUGGACUAGUAUCCCAAAGGUCGCGGGUUCGAUUCCCACCGUGGCCA